rnacentral:rRNA from 1 species
UGCCAGCCGCCGCGGUAAUACGGAGGGUGCAAGCGUUGUUCGGAAUUAUUGGGCGUAAAGCGCGUGUAGGCGGUUCGUUAAGUCUGAUGUGAAAGCCCGGGGCUCAACCCCGGAAGUGCAUUGGAAACUGUUUUUCUUGAGUAUAGAUGAAGUGGGCGGAAUGUAUCAUGUAGCGGUGAAAUGCAUAGAUAUGAUACAGAACACCGAUUGCGAAGGCAGCUCACUAAACUAUUACUGACGCUGAGGGACGAAAGCGUGGGGAGCGAACAGGAUUAGAUA